GUGGAUAAGGAGGACAGAGAUUUAGAGAGCUGGUUCGACCCAUAAAUAUUUUAAAUUUAACUAGUCCACCCUACCCCGUUCCCCUGUAGCCACUCUGCUUCUCAGGACACGCCAGUCAUUACAUAUAUGAAAAUCUGUACGCUCUACUCAUUACCUGGUUCCUAACGUGCCCCAACCCCCACCACUGCCCCCAAAUCCCUCUCUUCUUGGCUAGUAGCUAUCUGCAAGUCUGAUGUAUGUGUUAUUUUUAUAGCAGAGAAACAACCCAACUUUUAAAAACGUCAAAGGCAGCAAAACUAAUGACCAAAUUUAGCAGGCGCUGGGGGGGUCCGCAGAAGAGGAGAGGAAGAAAGCCAGAUAGCACUCUCCCUGUUCAAUCCUGAGCCACAGCGAACCGACACAACCAAACAUUUGGCCGGCUUUGAAGUCUAUAGUUCUCCCCACUGUGGAACAUGCCGGCCUGAGUGAAGACAGUUCUGCCCAGGAAUGUCAGAGGAAGGAAGGGGAGAGAGGGAGGCCGACCACAAUAGCAUGCGGAUUUUUCCCACAAAGAAGAAAAAGUGGAAAGAGGAAAGUAAGGGAAAGGGAAAGGAACCAGAGUCAACCACCUCCAGCUACACACUGCUAUGGACGCUGGUAUGGGUUCUGCUCCAAGACAAACUUUCUACAAGCUCAGAUUUCAACCCAGCAGCUCAAAGUGGAUCCAGACUGUGCACACUGGGUACCGGACAUCCUGCUGCAGAUGAUUUCAUGGCACCCACCUUGGGCCUCCCAGUAGAGGGAGGAGGCAGGGCUUUUCCCCAGGGGUCCUUGUCCCCUAACCCUGCUCCUUCUAUCUGUCCCCCACUUGCUGCUUCCCCGUUCAACUCCCCCACCCAAAUCAUGGGACAGCAGAGGGUGCUUCUGCCCAAGUCCAUCUCCCACCACGGAACCACUCAUUGCUUCCCAACUUCAAGUUUCCACCAGCAUGAGGCCAAUUCAUAAAGCUCAUGAUCCUUUGAUUCAGAAUUUGUGGUAAAAUUUAGUCUAACCUAAAGCGGAGAAAGGGAUUGCUAUGAA
rnacentral:lncRNA from 1 species